GUAACAUUGCCUGUCAGAGCUCCUGCUCCAGGAACAUCUCAGAGUCUGAUGUAGGAUUUUCAAGUUUUUAUCUGUGAGGAAAUACAAGACUGGGUAAGGAUAUUUUUAAACUGGGAAGAAGGAAGACACAAUAUGGACACAGAAAAGAAUGGAUGGGAAGAAAAAAAAUAAACUUCAGCAUAGAAUUAUUGUGCCUGGAGUUGUCAAGACCAACUCUGUCCUGAUCAACUCUUGAAGGUCUGAAUGAUUAGAACAGAUUUACUAACACAAUAUGAGAGUGAGAGAGACAGAUAAACAUGGAAACACAUGCAGUUGACAGUUUACUGUAGUUCAUGCAUUCUGAGUGGCUGCGUCAGAGAAGGUUUAAAAUACUUGGAAGAUACAGUAGCAGACAUAUGUUCUUGAAAAUGGAAAUAUUCCUGAAAAAGGAUGGAAGCAGCUGCUGGCAGUAUUGCUGAGGGAUGUUUCUUGUAUGGCUUCUAAAAUGGAACAUCUAGUUUUUCUUCAUGUAUAUUCUUGUUUUGCAAUCGGAAUCUUUGAGUCCACUCCAAAGUUACUUCAGGACUAAUUAUACACUAAAUAUAUGUGUUUGCAGUUAAUAAGCUUAGAUACUAGGGGAAAAAUCAGUGGAAAAGAUUAUACCACAGAUAAUUAAUAAAAAUCAAUUAGUUUGUUAAUGAGUACUCUGCCAGUACCCAAGGUGGUAGAAACCAGCUGCGGGGGGAAAGCAGUCAGUAUCCCUGAAUAGGACAUUUAGAAUGCCUGAGUCCUGCUGAGAAUUUGAAAGGAAAUAAGUACAAGAGGCAGCACUACUUGGGUUAAAACUGACUAAAUUUCCUCUUGAGAUUGCAGCUCCUCUAGCUAAUAAAUCUGGUAAAAAAGUGA